CCUACGGGCGGCUGCAGUGGGGAAUAUUGGACAAUGGGGGCAACCCUGAUCCAGCCAUGCCGCGUGUGUGAAGAAGGCCCUCGGGUUGUAAAGCACUUUCAGUGAGGAAGAACGCCUGGUGGUUAAUACCCAUCAGGAAAGACAUCACUCACAGAAGAAGCACCGGCUAACUCCGUGCCAGCAGCCGCGGUAAUACGGAGGGUGCGAGCGUUAAUCGGAAUCACUGGGCGUAAAGCGCGCGUAGGUGGCUUGAUAAGCCGGUUGUGAAAGCCCCGGGCUCAACCUGGGAACGGCAUCCGGAACUGUCAAGCUAGAGUGCAGGAGAGGAAGGUAGAAUUCCCGGUGUAGCGGUGAAAUGCGUAGAGAUCGGGAGGAAUACCAGUGGCGAAGGCGGCCUUCUGGACUGACACUGACACUGAGGUGCGAAAGCGUGGGUAGCAAACAGGAUUAGAUACCCGGGUAGUC
rnacentral:rRNA from 1 species